rnacentral:rRNA from 1 species
CCUACGGGCGGCAGCAGUGAGGAAUAUUGGUCAAUGGACGAGAGUCUGAACCAGCCAAGUAGCGUGAAGGAUGACUGCCCUAUGGGUUGUAAACUUCUUUUAUAAAGGAAUAAAACGAGGCACGUGUGCCUUUUUGCAUGUACUUUAUGAAUAAGGAUCGGCUAACUCCGUGCCAGCAGCCGCGGUAAUACGGAGGAUCCGAGCGUUAUCCGGAUUUAUUGGGUUUAAAGGGAGCGUAGAUGGGUUGUUAAGUCAGUUGUGAAAGUUUGCGGCUCAACCGGAAAAUUGCAAUUGAUACUGGUAGUCUUGAGUACAGUUGAAGUAGGCGGAAUUCGUGGUGUAGCAGUGAAAUGCUUAGAUAUCACGAAGAACCCCGAUUGCGAAGGCAGCUUACUAAACUGUGACUGACAUUGAUGCUCGAAAGUGUGGGUAUCGAACAGGAUUAGAUACCCGAGUAGUC